rnacentral:lncRNA from 1 species
UCCCUGAAAAGUUUGAAAUAAACCUUGGAAUGUAGUUUACUUUUCCCAAAAAUGAUUGAAGUUCUUUUUUGUUCUUUGGGGGUGAUGAUUCCUUGAUUGCAGUUCUAAAGAACUUUGCUUUGAGCAAUCUUUCGGUUUUUGAUUCGAUCUUCAUUAUGAUUUUUGACACAAAUCUUCACAGACUUUGUUUCAUAGGUUUCUUUCCUAGUUUAAGGGGUAAUCUAUGCUCAACCUGCCGUCGAUCUAAUCCGGGAAUAUCUUUGUACACCCAAGCAAA